rnacentral:lncRNA from 1 species
CAGGCUGCCAUCUGCUAAGGUAUGCGGUCCCCUCUAGGCCCAGGUCACGGAGCCCGUGCUUCACCUGCUGGUGUCUCCCCUCACCCAGCCUCCAGACCCCACCAGGCCAGCCGUGACUGUCACCACCUGAUCAUCUUCACUCUUAGACACAAGAAAAAACUUCCAGGUUUUGCAUUUCAGGAGUUAUGACUUUGGGAUCUCUAUCCCUUGCUUAAGAAACCCAUGAAUUUAUUUUUUAUAAUUUUUACCAUGCCAGUGUGGGUGGGAGAGUAAAAUUCCCCACCUCCCAAGGACAUGUUUCAGGAAAUAAGGAAACGAUACCAGCUAUUAUCAGAUCCUGACAUUUCACUGGGGCCCUGGCCUGAUCUUGGGGACAGGAGACAGGUGCACACCAGCCCAGGCCUUAAGUCCACUCUUCUUACUUCAUUCAACUCCUCUCUUUCUUCUCCUCCAGCUCAGAGAAUCUUUAUUUGGUCUAGGGUGUUGAGGGUAAGACUAGAAGAGCUGUUUCGGUUCGCACACAUAUGGGAAAAUUUCUACUCAAUGUGUUGAGCUACAAUUUACUUAAAUACAUAUAUCCAUAUAUCAAUCAUCAUUAUCAAGAUACAGAAUGUUUGCAUUACACCAGGAAGUUCUUUCACAUGCCUUUACAAUUAAUACACUUCUCCCAAAUGUCUUUCAACACGUGAACAGAUAAACAGAUAGCAGCACAUCACACGAUGGUAUAUUACUCAGCAGUAAAAAGGAAUGGUCUAUGAUACACCAACAACAUGAAUUAAUCUCCAAAACCUUAGACCAAGCAAAAGAUGACACAUAUAAAAUAAUCUGCAC